rnacentral:lncRNA from 1 species
CUAGUUUUUCAUUGCUGUUUCUAAGGAGCACACAGACUUGUUCCACCAUGGAAAGAAAUAGGACCAUAGGGUCUUCUUCUCAGAGGGGAGGCUCAGCUUAUGGACCCCAGCACAUGACCUCACUUCCUUGGCGACAGGUCCCAACAGAAUUCAGAACCCUGGAGUCAUCGGGCACCACAGUCUCACCAAGGCUGCCUAACAGUCACUUGGCUGGAGAGAGUCACCAGUGAACAUGUCGUGCUGCUUUCCAAGGCCUCCAGGCCACAGCCUCAGGACCCCGCACAAGAUGUGGAUUCACAGCAGUGCAAAGGGAGUCCAGAGGAGGCACAGACACCGGGCAACACAGCACUACAUACCCUAAAGCCUGAAGAGAGGCAGGGAAGCACAGAUGCCUACUGUCCCUCACUUCUCAGAUAGUUAUGGAGCAGCAGCCCUGUGCCCUUGAGUACAAUCACACAGCAGAGACCAGACUCUGUCCUCAUGGAGCUGACAGUGGGGACGGGCAGGGAGACACUGUGUGUGGCUGCCCUGAAGAAGGCAGAGGUGGUCACACCACUGAACAAGGACUCCUUCCCACUGAGCCUUCUGUCAGGCUCUCAGGGCUGCUUGGGCCAGGACUGCUCUACUGGGGGUGGGAGAGGGUGGGGCUGGAGCAUGCGCAGACUGGGCAGGAGGCUCACUGGUCCUUCCCUGCGUAUUUGCUGGGCAGGUAGUGUGGGAGGAAAUGCCAGGCCUCUCACUCUGCCUCCUACCUGCCUUCCCCAGCUCCAUGUCCUCUGUCCUUGGCUCCUUGCUGGAGCUGCAUUCCCAGGAGAAUCCCCCAGCUGAACUCCUGGCCCAGCGAGAGCACACUGAGCCCACUGAGGCAGAGCCCAAAGCUGCAGGGUCAGCUCCAGCCCAAGAUGAAGACCCAUCAGCAGAGCCCACACCAGCUCCACCUGCAGCUGCCUCCCCCGUUCUGGCACCACAGCCAGAGCCAGCCCCAGGAAGCCCUUCUCCUCCAGCUGCACAGUUGGGUCUCCUGGGGGCGCCUCAGCAGGUCUCAGCUCCUGACCUCCCCCUGGGGCCAGCUUCUGCCCCACCCCAGCCAUUCCCCUCCCAGACAGAUUUACUUAUUAUUGUCUUUAUUGUUGCCCUUAUUUCCCAG